AUUGAACGCUGGCGGCAGGCCUAACACAUGCAAGUCGAGCGGAUGAGAAGAGCUUGCUCUUCGAUUCAGCGGCGGACGGGUGAGUAAUGCCUAGGAAUCUGCCUGGUAGUGGGGGACAACGUUUCGAACGGAACGCUAAUACCGCAUACGUCCUACGGGAGAGAGCAGGGGACAUUCGGGCCUGGCGCUAUCAGAUGAGCCUAGGUCGGGUUAGCUAGUUGGUGAGGUAAUGGCUCACCAAGGCGACGAUCCAGAACUGGUCUGAGAGGAGGAUCAGUCACACUGGAACUGAGACACGGACAAGACUCCUACGGGAGGCAACAGGGGGGAAUAUUGGACAAUGGGCGAAAGCCUGAUCCAGCCAUGCCGCGUGUGUGAAGAAGGUCUUCGGAUUGUAAAGCACUUUAAGUUGGGAGGAAGGGCAGUAAGUUAAUACCUUGCUGUUUUGACGUUACCGACAGAAUAAGCACCGGCUAACUCUGUGCCAGCCGCCGCUGUAAAAC
rnacentral:rRNA from 1 species